rnacentral:rRNA from 1 species
AACUGAAACACGGUCCAUACACCUACGGGUGGCAGCAGUAGGGAAUAUUGGUAAUGCGCGAAAGCGUGAACCAGCAACGCCGCGUGUGCGAUGAAGGCCUUCGGGUUGUAAAGCACUUUUCGGGAGGAAGAGGAAGGACUGUACUCCCAGAAUAAGCCUCGGCUAACUACGUGCCAGCAGCCGCGGUAAUACGUAGGAGGCAAACGUUAUCCGGAUUUACUGGGCGUAAAGCGCGUGUAGGCGGUUUGAUAAGUUGGACGUGAAAGCUCCCGGCUCAACUGGGAGAGGUCGUUCAAUACUGUCAAGCUAGAGGAUGGUAGAGGGAGGUGGAAUUCCGGGUGUAGUGGUGAAAUGCGCAGAUAUCCGGAGGAACACCAGUGGCGAAGGCGGCCUCCUGGACCACUCCUGACACUCAGACGCGAAAGCUAGGGUAGCAAACGGGAUUAGAGACCCCGGUAGUCCUAGCCCUAAACGAUGUAGACUUGGCGUCGGUGGUUUAAUCGCCAUCGGUGUCGUAGCUAACGCGAUAAGUCUACCGCCUGGGGACUACGGCCGCAAGGUUAAAACUCAAAGGAAUUGACGGGUCCCCGCACAAGCAGCGGAGCGUGUGGUUUAAUUCGAUGCUACACGAAGAACCUUACCUGGGUUUGACAUGCAAGUGGUAGUGAUCUGAAAAGUGAACGACCCUUCGGGGAGCUUGUACAGGUGCUGCAUGGCUGUCGUCAGCUCGUGUCGUGAGAUGUUCGGUUAAGUCCGCUAACGAGCGCAACCCUCGUCGUAUGUUACAUGUGUCAUACGAGACUGCCGGUAAAAAGCCGGAGGAAGGUGAGGAUGAUGUCAAGUCAGCAUGACCUUUAUAUCCAGGGCUACACACACGCUACAAUGGUCUGUACAAUGGGUAGCCAAGCCGCGAGGCGGAGCCAAUCCUGAAAGCAGGCCUCAGUUCGGAUUGCAGUCUGCAACUCGACUGCAUGAAGUAGGAGUUGCUAGUAACCGCAGGUCAGCUAUACUGCGGUGAAUACGUUCCCGGGUCUUGUACACACCGCCCGUCACGUCAUGGAAGCUGGCAACGCCUGAAGCCGGUAUCCUAACCCUCACGGGAGGGAGCCGUCUAAGGUGGGGUUGGUGACUGGGACGAAGUCGUAACAAGGUAGGUGUACCGGAAGGUGCGCCUG